GAAGCCAAAGGGAUGGGUGGGGGUGGAGGGUGCCGAGCCCCCGAAACCAAACAAAGCGCGGCCUGAGCGAGAGCCCGGGCGAGUAGGGAAGCCGCGGCUUUUCCUGCCGGCCCGGCCCCGGCUGACACUGCGGCACCGGGGGACCCGCCUCCGCUCAGCUUGGGUCUCCCACCCCUAGGGCGUGCAGGCCGCCCCCGCCCGCCCCUGCCUCCCUUCCCGCGGUGCCCCGGCCGGCUGGCGGCUGGGAGGGAGCGCGGCCUUACCCCGCUCGCCGACGUUGUUCCGCUCCUGAGGCAGCGGCGGAGGCGGCGGUGGCGGCGGCGGAGGCUGCUGCUGCUGCUGUUGUGGCGGCGGCGGAGGCUGCUGCUGGGGCGGCUGCUGCUGGGGUGGCUGCGGCGGCGGCUGCUGCGGGGGCUGCUGCUGCUGUUGCUGCACCGGGCGCGGCCGCGACACUCGCCUGGGUCUCCGGUUGGCGGCUCGGACGGAGUUCAUUUGCCGGGCUGAGGUGGCGGCGUUGGCGGAGGGACACACACACGCACACGCACAGCGAGCUUCGGGGCUGGAGAAGGGGCCCUGUCGCCGCUGCUUCUGCUGCUGCUCCGUGGCAGGAGGAGCCAUUGACACCGCCGGAGCCUCCACUAGCCCACUUCCCCCUCUACCCCAGCCGUCACCCGAUUUUGUUGAGCUGAAAAAAAAGUGGAACGAGGGAGCCAAUCUUUGGUCCCACAAACUACAAGGAAAAGAAAAACCCUCAAGAGGAAUUACCUUUAUACCUGAUGCCCCCAACAUAAUCUCUCUCCAAGGGAAACUUGUUUUUAUUCCCUGAAUAAAAUGUACUCUUUCUCGAUUCUCCA